rnacentral:rRNA from 1 species
UACGGGGGGAGCAAGCGUUGUUCGGAUUUACUGGGCGUAAAGGGCGCGUAGGCGGCGCAACAAGUCACUUGUGAAAUCUCCGGGCUUAACCCGGAGCGGUCAAGUGAUACUGUCGUGCUAGAGUGCGGAAGGGGCAACUGGAAUUCUUGGUGUAGCGGUGAAAUGCGUAGAUAUCAAGAGGAACACCUGCGGCGAAGGCGGGUUGCUGGGCCGACACUGACGCUGAGGCGCGAAAGCUAGGGGAGCGAACGGG